AGUAACACGUGAGCAACCUGCCUCUGAGAGGGGGAUAGCUUCUGGAAACGGAUGGUAAUACCCCAUAACAUAGUCUGAAGACAUCUUUAGACUAGUCAAAGAUUUAUCGCUCAGAGAUGGGCUCGCGUCUGAUUAGGCUAGUUGGUGAGGUAACGGCCCACCAAGGCGACGAUCAGUAGCCGGACUGAGAGGUUGAACGGCCACAUUGGGACUGAGACACGGCCCAGACUCCUACGGGAGGCAGCAGUGGGGAAUAUUGCACAAUGGGGGAAACCCUGAAUGCAGCGAUGCCGCGUGGAGGAAGAAGGUUUUCGGAUUGUAAACUCCUGUCUUAAAGGACGAUAAUGACGGUACUUUAGGAGGAAGCUCCGGCUAACUACGUGCCAGCCGCUGC
rnacentral:rRNA from 1 species